ensembl:snoRNA small nucleolar RNA SNORA3/SNORA45 family
AUCGAGACUAGAGUCACAUCUUCACAUGUCUGAUUGUCCUGAUGUGCUAUAGCUCUCGGACAUAAGAAACUGAUCCAUAUUCGCUGACUGCGAUGUCUCAUAUCUCAGCCAGCCACCGAAUCAGUGACACGA